AUCCAGUUGAUGUGUCCCAAACAGGACGAAAUGCAAAUCCUAGAU
rnacentral:hammerhead_ribozyme from 1 species